GCGAAUUGGUUGUGGUCCUGCCA
rnacentral:siRNA from 1 species